GGACUACUCGGGUUUCUAAUCCCGUUCGCUCCCCUAGCUUUCGCACCUGAGCGUCAGGUACCAACCAGGACACUGCCUUCGCCUUUGGUAUUCCUCCGGAUAUCUACGCAUUUCACCACUACACCCGGAAUUCUGUGUCCCUCUUUGGCCCUCAAGUCCUGCCGUCUUCGAGGCGCUCUCCCGGUUGAGCCGGGAGCUGUAACCCCAAACUGACACGACCGCCUGCGUGCGCUUUACGCCCAGUAACUCCGGACAACGCUCGCCCCCUACGUAUUACCGCGGCUGCUGGCAC
rnacentral:rRNA from 1 species